GACGAACGCUGGCGGCGUGCCUAAUACAUGCCAGUUGAGCGAUGAAGAUUGGUGCUUGCACCAAUUUGAAGAGCAGCGAACGGGUGAGUAACGCGUGGGGAAUCUGCCUUUGAGCGGGGGACAACAUUUGGAAACGAAUGCUAAUACCGCAUAAUAACUUUAAACAUAAGUUUUAAGUUUGAAAGAUGCAAUUGCAUCACUCAAAGAUGAUCCCGCGUUGUAUUAGCUAGUUGGUGAGGUAAAGGCUCACCAAGGCGAUGAUACAUAGCCGACCUGAGAGGGUGAUCGGCCACAUUGGGACUGAGACACGGCCCAAACUCUUACGGGAGGCAGCAGUAGGGAAUCUUCGGCAAUGGACGAAAGUCUGACCGAGCAACGCCGCGUGAGUGAAGAAGGUUUUCGGAUCGUAAAACUCUGUUGGUAGAGAAGAACGUCGGUGAGAGUGGAAAGCUCAUCAAGUGACGGUAACUACCCAGAAAGGGACGGCUAACUACGUG
rnacentral:rRNA from 1 species